ACCAAAUUUCGAUGAAUGGUUAGCCGCAACGCAAAGAACAAAAAAUGUAAGCUUUCGGCGUGUGCAGUGCAGCUAAAAUAGGAUGUAUAAUCCAAGUCUUGUUUAAGUUGCCGACUCUUGUGGGACUUGAUCCACAGCUAGCAAUACUACAACAGGGCAAUCCGCAGAAUAGUGAAACUGCUGGAGAUAAUCCAAUCGAUAAUGGGAAGGAGCAUGACGAGUAAGACUUCGCUCCCUACAUGGACAUCCUGCCGAACUGGUGCACGCAAAAAACAGAACCACCAGUAUUAUGAUCUCUGACGAUCUCUCUAUUGGGGAAUCGCUGGAUUCCACCUCCAUCAGCUACUUCCCCAGUGCUGCCCUUUUGUCCUUUUCCGGACAGAUCUGUCCAAAUUUAAACUGCCUCAGCCGGAAAAAAAUUCAAACGUCCUCUGUUUGGAAAUCUGUCCUUUCGAACUGAGUUAAUUAUUUUGUUUCAAUCUAUCUUAUUUACUGAUAGACGCAUUAAAUAGACUUUUGGGUUUUGAGUUCUGAAUACCAAUCGGUGUAUGUAUGGUUACUACGGCGGUCGAUAAAAUGAAAUCUUCUUCUUACCCCUUCGCAUGGUUGAUUUAAAUGU